AAAUAUAUAAUCAAAACAUGUCAUAAAGUUCUUGUCAAUCUUCCAUUAUUUUCACCAAAAAGGUUGGCACACUCUUCUGAUGUAUGUAAUUUAACAUUUUCUCCUUCUGUGAGAAUCGAAAGUAAAGAAGCAAAAAAUGAGCAAACUCCAUGGAGAGAAUAUUGAAUUAGUUUGCAAAGGUAGGCUACAUCUUAUCAUAUUUAGUCCUAAAUCAAAAGGUUCACCAACGAUUCUCAAACAAAAGACCCUGCCUGCAUAAUCCAAUAUCAACUUUGCCAACGAAGGCUACAAAAGACCCUGCCUGCAUAAUCCAAUAUUUAGUCCUAAAUCAAAAGGUUCACCAACGAUUCUCAAACAAAAGACCCUGCCUGCAUAAUCCAAUAUCAACUUUGCCAACGAAGGCUACAAGAAACCACAAAAAUUGAGUGACGAGCCAUCCCUGCUCCAACCAACCAAGCAGGACAGUAUGGAAAGAUGAGAAUUGAAAUAGUUCUGUCACAGAGUUGC
rnacentral:lncRNA from 1 species